UAUGCAUAACAACACUUUAUACAUUACUAAGACAUAACACUGGCAUAUUGUGUUGCCGGAGGCUUUCUGCCCAAUGCCUUCAACCUCUCCACUCCAACCUCGUCAGUCAAGCUGCUUUCUAGGCUGUGAAAUAUACCAAGGACCACGAGACUGGGCCCCCUCCAUGGGGUUGACAUGUGGGUUCCAUAAGACAAACGGGAUUCAGUGAUGGUCGGACAGUGACCACCACUUGUACAGCAGCAGUUUGCGCCACUGAUGGAAUGACAGUUGGUGCCUGUUGGGCCAGCCAAACCUCUGGGGCAACCAGAGUAGGCCUUCUGUAGAAGCCUGUGGACCCAGCCAAACAUCUGUGGCUGCUAAGAGUGGGCCUGAGUAUGCGCUGCAGCAGGUACCCGAUUGCAACCUCUGGAGCCAGGUGCAGCCACUCGGAUUUUCAACUCUGCUGUUCCCAGGGAACUUCCUCUUUUAGUCCCCUUGGCGACAGGCUCCAGUAAAAUGGCCGCCGGACGGAAGAACGUCAUCGGUGCAUCGCUGACUUCUGGUCCCCCGGCAACAAGAGGCUUCAACAAGAGGCUUCAAGAUCCUUCAAGUUCCACUUCGGACUGGACACAGCAACAUGAUCUCCACGCCCAGGGGCGUCCCGCACAGGACAUUUUUGCGUGCUUCCCGGGCUCCUCCUUAACCCUUUCAGGGUGAUGGACAGGAUGACAGAUUGAUCGUGUUCCGGCUCGUAUUAUAGAAUAUUUGGACAAAAUAAAACUUGAUAAGUCCUAACUGUAAUGUGGCUGAACUUUGUGCUCGUCUAUCAAUCACAAGUCUAUCUGGGUCAAAAUACCCAGCUCUCCCAUCUGCAUCCGAGCAAUUAAAACUUCUGGAAAGCCGCAGAUUUCACCGGUCCUGUCAUACGGAAUACCUGAUCCACUUUAUCAAGGUAGUAGAAUUGUCUCCUUUGAUUGAAACUUCCAGCAAAAUCCUGUUUCCCGCGACAUGAAAAGUGUCUGCACCCCACACCGAGAUCAUAUGCAAAGAAGACAAGAAGGUUCUCAUUUAUCUUUAAACGGACAAGUGCGACAAACUUCACUAAGACGCAACACAGAGAUUGUGUUUCUUGUUGUUAUUUUAUUAUAGUUUUUUUUUUCUCUUUUUUGCUUUUAUCAUUUUAUUUUUUAUUAAUUUUUUAUCUAGAAGGUUAAAUUCAUUAUAUAUAUAUUUUUAAGUCAUUCAAAUUUUUUUAAUUAUUGUUACCAUCCUCCUUUGUGAUGGCGUCUCUUCUCUAAACAAUCUUAGGGAUUGCGUUUCAAGGUUAAAUGAGCACAAUGUCAGAUCCAUAAACUUUUUAUAUGUUGUUACUGAUGAAAAUGUAAGACCUUUUGUAAUAUGGUUGUUUUAACCCCUAACGACCACAGACGUAAAUGUACGUCCUACUGGUGCUACUUCGUGCACCAGUAUGUUUAUUUACAUCCUGUAUAUGACUGUGAGCAUUAGAGCGAUGCUCGUGUCAUGCACGGCAGGUCCUGGCUGUGUCCUGGCUGCGAUCGCGCUGAUGUUCACCAUUAACCCCUCAGAUGCCAUGAUCAAUACAGAUCGCAGCAUCUGCAGCAAUGCGCAUGUUUAAAUGGAUGAUCGGAU